rnacentral:rRNA from 1 species
AUUGAACGCUGGCGGCAUGCCUUACACAUGCAAGUCGAACGGCAGCACGGACUUCGGUCUGGUGGCGAGUGGCGAACGGGUGAGUAAUAUAUCGGAACAUACCUUGUAGUGGGGGAUAACUAUCCGAAAGGAUAGCUAAUACCGCAUACGCUCUAAGGAGGAAAGUGGGGGAUCGCAAGACCUCAUGCUAUAAGAGUGGCCGAUAUCUGAUUAGCUAGUUGGUGAGGUAAAGGAUCACCAAGGCGACGAUCAGUAGCUGGUCUGAGAGGACGACCAGCCACACUGGAACUGAGACACGGUCCAGACUCCUACGGGAGGCAGCAGUGGGGAAUUUUGGACAAUGGGGGCAACCCUGAUCCAGCAAUGCCGCGUGAGUGAAGAAGGCCUUCGGGUUGUAAAGCUCUUUUGUCAGGGAAGAAACGGUUGUGGCUAAUAUCCAUGGCUAAUGACGGUACCUGAAGAAUAAGCACCGGCUAACUACGUGCCAGCAGCCGCAGUAAAAC